ACAGCACAGGCGAGAGAAUCUUGCCCUAGUCACCCGCGUCCCCACGACGAUACUGCGGCCUGUGUCUGCGUGGAAUAAACCAGAGCCACGCAGCGGGUCGGCUCCUCCACCCCCAUCCCCAUCUGGCGAACGGCGGCGCCUGUGCUGCUCCGGCGAGAUUUCCACCAAUGGCCUCAGCUCAACGGGAUGUGUGCUGCGCCCUGGCCGUGGAACAGUUACGUCUUUCCAGUGGCGUCACGGGAUUUCAUGAGUGUCCCAAACGUCGCGUUUGGCGCCGGCGGUGGUGCACAGGCAGGCGUGGAGGCUGCAGCGGGCGAGGUGUGCUCUGAAGCCACCAGUGGCUGGACAACGGAGGAUAAGGAUCGGCAGGGCUCCUGAGGAGAGGGAGAUGAAUCCCAACAGGAAAACAUCGCUACAAUGGUCUGUGCGUGCUUAUGCAGAGAAGGGUGAUGGUCCAGUUGUGAAAACAGCGCCGAAGUUUAUCAAACGUGGUGUUGUUGGGCACAACCAGAACUAUCUUUUAUGCCCUUCCCUGAAUUGUUGUUUGGUCUACUAUGUAAACUGCAUGUUAAAUCAUGGGGCUGUUAGUUUACGUAACCGCUAGUUCAAAACUGUGGCGUUGAUAUCAUGCCACUACUUAGCUUUGGUAGGCAGGAACUCAAUUCAAAUGUUGUUGUGGCUGUUGUUAACUACACAUGCCUGCAUUUUGUUUCUGUUGGGCUUCAGUUAUAUGCUCUUCGCCAA